CAAAAGGCCCUUCUAAGGGCCACCCACGAAAUCUGUUAAGGAGCUG
rfam:Felis catus isolate Cinnamon breed Abyssinian chromosome B2, whole genome shotgun sequence.